rnacentral:rRNA from 1 species
UACAGAGGUCCCAAGCGUUGUUCGGAUUCACUGGGCGUAAAGGGUGCGUAGGCGGUCGGGUAAGUCUGAUGUGAAAUCUCACAGCUUAACUGUGAAACUGCAUUGGAUACUAUUCGGCUUGAGAGUUGGAGGGGGGACUGGAAUUCUUGGUGUAGCAGUGAAAUGCGUAGAUAUCAAGAGGAACACCCGUGGCGAAGGCGAGUCCCUGGACAACUUCUGACGCUGAGGCACGAAAGCUAGGGGAGCAAACAGG